CAAGUACUCCCUCCGUCCCAAAAUUCUUGUCUUAAAUUUGUCUAAAUAUGGAUGUAUCAAGUCACAUUUUAGUAUUAGAUACAUCCGUAUCUAGGCAAAUCUAAGACAAGAAUUUUGGACGGAGGGAGUACGUA
rnacentral:pre_miRNA from 1 species